rnacentral:lncRNA from 1 species
UUGCAGUUAUCCAUCAUUCAUUAAAUAACUUAUAGAAAAAUGUCUCCCAUCGAUCCUUUAUAUCGUUUUUGUGAUACAAUUUUUUUAUCUUUCUUUGGUGUCUAAGAAUUAAAAUAAUCCGUCAAAAUAUUUUUUUUUGUUUGUUCAAUGUCUUCCUAAUCUCUUUCUUAGCUUCGUUUUUUUUUCAACUUUCUAUUUUUUUAACACCUAGACCAAACUUUUAAGUAUUUUCUUUUUUAUUCUAACUUUAUUAUGCACACUUUUAUUCUACUACCAUUUUUUCCCCUAAGGUCCAAUUUGUUUUUGUUUCUCUCAAGCGCCUUAUUUUAUACUUUUUGAAUCUCUUGCGCCAACUUGUC